ACUACGGGAGGCAGCAGUGGGGAAUAUUGCGCAAUGGGCGAAAGCCUGACGCAGCGACGCCGCGUGAGGGAUGAAGGUCUUCGGAUCGUAAACCUCUGUCAGCAGGGAAGAACGGUCACUGUGCUAAUCAGCAGUGAAUUGACGGUACCUGCAAAGGAAGCACCGGCUAACUCCGUGCCAGCAGCCGCGGUAAUACGGGGGGUGCGAGCGUUAAUCGGAAUUACUGGGCGUAAAGCGCUCGUAGGCGGUAUGUCAAGUCAAGGGUGAAAUCCCCGCGCGCAACGUGGGAACUGCAUUUGAUACUGGCAAACUGGAGUGUGUGAGAGGAUAGUGGAAUUCCAGGUGUAGGAGUGAAAUGCGUAGAUAUCUGGAGGAACAUCAGUGGCGAAGGCGACUAUCUGGCACAUCACUGACGCUGAGGAGCGAAAGCGUGGGUAGCAAACAGGAUUAGAUACCCCGGUAGUC
rnacentral:rRNA from 1 species